rnacentral:rRNA from 1 species
UACGUAGGGGGCUAGCGUUGUCCGGAAUUAUUGGGCGUAAAGAGCGUGUAGGCGGUCCGGUAAGUCGGCUGUGAAAGUCCAGGGCUCAACCCUGGGAUGCCGGUCGAUACUGCCGGGCUAGAGUCCGGAAGAGGCGAGUGGAAUUCCUGGUGUAGCGGUGGAAUGCGCAGAUAUCAGGAGGAACACCAAUAGCGAAGGCAGCUCGCUGGGACGGUACUGACGCUAAGGCGCGAAAGCGUGGGGAGCGAACAGG